ensembl:lncRNA
AGACAAAACUAAAGAAAUAAAGGAUGGAUUUAUUGUUCAUAUUUUUUAAAUAAUGUUUAUACAUGUUCUAAUUUUAAAUUUUUAUUAAUUUCUGAAGAACGCCAUGAUCAGAGCUGUUUUUCUUGUGUGUUUUGGGUUUCGUAAUAACGGAGAUGGAAUGUAAAUGCACAGUUUAUGCAACUGAAAGAGCAAAAAGUUGGGCUAAGAGACUAAAUAUCCUAUGACAAUUAUGUUGCAUAUCGAGGCUGAGAAAAGAGCACAACACUGCAGACAACAGUACUGUACCAGACAGCACAUUACUCUCAGCUUGGCAUCAGUGCAGUUCCUCCAGUGCACAGCUGUACUGAAACUAAACAGAGAUGGCACAAACCCCGAACAAGGUGCCAUUAGUGAGAUGUCCAAGACAUGCAUUGUUGGUGGACCUCCAGUAACAGGAGGCCUUUAAUCACCCCCCGGAGCCGUGUGAUGGACGUUUUAUUAUGGAUGCGCGCACUUUAUUUCUCGUCUUCUGAACUGUUUACAAUCCCAUUGAAAGGCUUGGAGGCCCAGGACCAUUUUUAUGCGUCCUAUAUAACAACAGGUUUAAUGCAUCUAAG